rnacentral:rRNA from 1 species
CGUUUUUUCUUGUUCUAGUAUAGCAAUUAUACCGUGAAACUGCGAAUGGCUCAUUAAAUCAGUUAUCGUUUAUUUGAUAGUACCUUACUACUUGGAUAACCGUGGUAAUUCUAGAGCUAAUACAUGCUGAAAACCCCGACUUCGGGAGGGGUGUAUUUAUUAGAUAAAAAACCAACGCCCUUCGGGGCUUCUUGGUGAUUCAUGAUAACUUCACGGAUCGCAUGGCCUUGCGCCGGCGACGGUUCAUUCAAAUUUCUGCCCUAUCAACUUUCGAUGGUAAGGUAUUGGCUUACCAUGGUUUCAACGGGUAACGGGGAAUUAGGGUUCGAUUCCGGAGAGGGAGCCUGAGAAACGGCUACCACAUCCAAGGAAGGCAGCAGGCGCGCAAAUUACCCAAUCCCGACACGGGGAGGUAGUGACAAUAAAUACUGAUACAGGGCUCUUUUGGGUCUUGUAAUUGGAAUGAGUACAAUUUAAACCUCUUAACGAGGAACAAUUGGAGGGCAAGUCUGGUGCCAGCAGCCGCGGUAAUUCCAGCUCCAAUAGCGUAUAUUAAAGUUGUUGCAGUUAAAAAGCUCGUAGUUGAAACUUGGGCCUGGCUGGCAGGUCCGCCUCACCGCGUGUACUUGUCCGGCCGGGCCUUUCCUUCUGGAGAACCUCAUGCCCUUCACUGGGUGUGUUGGGGAACCAGGACUUUUACUUUGAAAAAAUUAGAGUGUUCAAAGCAGGCCUUUGCUCGAAUACGUUAGCAUGGAAUAAUAGAAUAGGACGUGCGGUCCUAUUUUGUUGGUUUCUAGGACCGCCGUAAUGAUUAAUAGGGACAGUCGGGGGCAUCAGUAUUCAAUUGUCAGAGGUGAAAUUCUUGGAUUUAUUGAAGACUAACUACUGCGAAAGCAUUUGCCAAGGAUGUUUUCAUUAAUCAGUGAACGAAAGUUAGGGGAUCGAAGACGAUCACAUACCGUCGUAGUCUUAACCGUAAACUAUGCCGACUAGGGAUCGGGCGAUGUCUUUUCUGACUCGCUCGGCACCAUACGAGCAAUCAUAGUUUUUGGCUUCUGGGGGGGAGUAUGGUCGGCAAGGCUGAAAC